rnacentral:lncRNA from 1 species
CCUAAUUCCUACCCCUUCCCCAUUUUAAAAUUGGGCCACAAAAGUAGCCGAAAUACCCACUCCAACAUAUCAGCCCAACCUUUUAUUUUUACCCAACAGAGCAACCCGGCCCAAAGACCCUUUUAAAAUCCAUUCCCCUUUACCUGUGAUUGUCAUCUACAACCUCAGCAAUAACAAUGCACAACACACCCAAAACCGGAUUAACAACAAUAUCAACGCAAACAGCAACGACUUCAACAAACGACGGUGUCAUCCAACCCGUACCCGGAAUCGGCGACCCGGUCAGCACCUUCAACAACGACUCCAACCAACCCGAUUCAGUCAAAAUCCGACCCGUUAAAUGAUAACAGCAAAAUUCAACGACAAAUCCCCCAAAUCAUGGAAAGUCUCUCUUUUCCAUCUUAUCUCUGCAAUUUUGCCGAGCUAGAGCCAUUGUUGUGGACUUUUGGCUCAAAAUUGAGUGUCUUCCAUGCCAAAAUCCAAUCCAAGUCAGAGGUCACAGUGUCAAAUUCGAAUUUUAGGGGGAUGUGUUUCUCCAUUUUUGAAUUUUGAAAAUGAAAGAACAGUAUCUCCUUCUAUAAAUAGAGGAGAUUGAGAAGAAGAAAGGCAGAGGAUUUUGGGGAAAAUCGGGGUUCUGAAGGCGCUUGCUUUUAACCUCACGUAACCAAGAUUCUCGAGGAACACAAUUCUUGAAAUCCGACGAAUUUGUUUGAAUUCCGGUGAAGCAGGAUCAAAUUGUGGUGACGGUCGUCAAAGCUCGUUCUGUCCCAUUCGCUGCCUGCAAAAAGGUAAAAAGACUCGUCUUUUCUUUUACUCUCUUUUUUCUAUUUCUAGGAUUGUAAUUUGUAAUGUGAAUCUCACUGUAGUUGUGAGCUUUGAGAUCGGUCUUACAUGGUAAACAUAGCCUAAUGUUAUAUGAAAUUCCUAAGAUUGAAAUGGGUCAAUAUUAACAUGUUUUGUUCUCACUAGUACUACGGAACGUGAUUGACUGUAAAAUAUAGUGGAAUUUUUUUAUUUAUUCUAUUUUAAUACUAAGUGGGUUUAUCAUUAAGAAAUCACCUUAGGAGAUCACUACUUUACCAACAGUUAUAAAACUAGACAUAGCUUAUGUUCGAUUGUUGGUAGUGCCUUCGAAUUGAAAAUUGUUGCUAAUAUAAUGUUUUCCAGUAAGCCUUUAUGUUGUUUUGCCAUGUCGUGACCUUCAUGAACUUGUGAUAAAGCCGAUGUUUAUGGAGCAUCUAAAGAUCUUACUUGUUUUUGUUAAUAUGCUUUGAAAGCUUGAAAAAAAUAAAACGACUGAAAUAGUUAUUAUUAGGGCCUUUUGUUUUAGAGUAAAACAUUGGACAAAAUCGAGCUUUGUGCUAAUUCAAUCUUCAGUCUCAAGAGUUUCUCAAGUACUAUUCUUGUUUUAUGAAGGACAAAGCCUGAGCUUUGUCUUGUUUUAAUAAUUUAACCAUUCAUCCUACAUCUAGGAUAGUUCGGAUUUGGUUUUAAAUAAUAUCAAAGUGGUAGAAAGAUUACAUGAAUCCUAUCUAGGUGUGAGGGAUUUCAUCCAUAACCCAUGGAAAGGGAAUUCCUUUGACCUUAAAUUCAUGGUCCAUUUUUGUAUCGCUAACUCUUCGCUUGAAAUGAAUGAUCUGUUGAUUUCCGUUCUUCAUCCAUGAUGUUUCUUGAAUCUCUCCUUUUCCUUGUGUGAGUGUGAAUGAAUUGUGUUGGACAAUUAUGUCUUGCAAAUAUUCUCAUGUCUAGCUAGUUCCCUACUCCAGAGUGUUGAGCAUGAACAGUAUCAUGUCCUAAUUCCUCUAUGUAUGCAUUAUACGAAAGUUCAUCCUUUGCAUCUCUGUGUAAACUUGAAUCGUAGCUGUCCGGGUAAAAUAAAAAAUGUGUAGCUCUUUAAAAAAAAAAAAAAAGAAGGAAAGAAAAAAAGAAGAAUUCUAUGUGUUGUUGAAAUUUUCGCUUUCACAAAGCUUAGUUUCAUAAACCCUUUCAUAUAAAAUUGUAAAUUAGGUGCCAACUGGAUUCUCUGAUUUCUUAAAGAAUAAAUUUAUGAUCAUGGAAUAUUAUGCAGUGAUUUAAUACUUGAUGCUAAUCCUUGCCUCUUAUUUUAUGCAUGAACUCCUCCAUCGAGUCCGUCGGACUCCCUCUCUCGCAUUCCGUUGGGUCGAACCCAACUUGCAUCGAAUCAAAACCUCAAGACCAAGUCCCAAGAGGACUGUUUCUUUUUUUUUUUUUGCAUUGGUAUACAGUGAUAUACGCAGUGUGAAGGCUGUUAUACGGGCGGUAUAUGUUGAAAACGAGCAAAGGAAGCUGACCAUACAAGUGGGGGACUAAAUAUAAGCAUAUAUGGCUGAUAUACAGUCUGAUAUACAUCAGAUAUACAAAAACGUUGGAGGAAAAUAUCUGCAGUAUACAGAUGGUAUACACUGAAAUAAUGGACUGAAAUUCAUGGGAUUUAGGCCCAAAAUUUGGGUAGCCCAUAAAUGGGUCAAAAGGGCCCAACUCUAACUCUUCCUUUAUUUCCUAUUCUUAUUUAUUUGUAUUUACUUGAACACCCUAACUGAUUAAUCUAGAUAAACUCCCUAAAGCGUCACCAUUUUGUUUUUAUCGCGGCUUUUGGUCAAUUCGUAAUUUUCUCACUUAAUGUAUCUCGUCUAAAUGUAUUAAAAUGGUUACUUUCGAUUUUUCCCCUUAAAACUAUGCUUAAAAGAAAUUGUCAAGUAUUUUAUUAAAAACGACAUUUGUUUUGUUCAUAUGAUUAAUGGCCUAUUUGGGUUAAAAAACAAUUCCAUCAAAUAAAAAAAAAAUUAUUCUUUCGCAUAUUUUCUUUACCUUUUCAUAAUUGAUAAAAUAUUUUAACAUGACGCUUUCUUAAUAGUUUUCAAGUGCGUUAUUUAUAAUAAAAGUAACUUUUUUUUUUUUCAUAAAUGAUAAAUAAUAAUAAAAUUAAAAGAGGGUGAUAUAAUCCUCUUUUCUCUUUUGGAUAAACAAAUGCCAAUUUUAAAUAUGUAAAUAAAUAAUUUUAAUAUUUUAAAAGUUAAAUCUUUUCGUAAAGUUAGUCACCCUUAUUUUAGUUAGUCUAAAAAUGAUCUUUUGUUGAAUUGUUCUAAACGGACGCUCUUAAGUGCCUUAAAAAUCUUUUUAGGGCGUUAAUUGAAUCUUUUUAGGGUGUUGGGUGUGUCCACGAGUCGGGCCGGUCACCAUCGGGGGAUUGGUGGUGGAAUGAGGAGGUUAAGAAGAAAGUGAAAUCUAAGAAGGAAGCAUAUGCUAAGUUGGUUGAGAGUAGUAAGGAUGAAGAAGAGAAGUGGGUAAAUAAGGAGGAGUACAAAUUAGCGAGGAAAGACGUUAAGCUAGCACUUAUGGCUGCUAAGAUGACAUCAUUUGAGAGCUUGUAUGCGGGGUUAGAGGAGAAAGGAGAGGAGAAUAGGUUGUUUAGGCUGGCUAAGGUUAGGGAGAGAAAGGGGUGUGACCUCGACCAGGUAAAGUGUAUUAAGGGGGAAGAUGGUAGAGUGUUGGUGGAGGAUGGUCAUAUUAAGAAAAGAUGGCAGUCGUAUUUUCAUAGGCUUUUGAAUGAUGAAGGGGAUAGAGUUAUUGUGUUAGGGGAGUUGGAGCACUUAGAGAAGUGUCGUGAUUUUAGUCAUUGUAGACGUUUUAAGGUGGAGAAGGUCAGGGAGGCCGUUCAUAGGAAGCAAAGGGGUAGAGCGACGGGGCCUAACGAGAUUUCCGUGGAUAUUUGGAAGUUUUCUGUCGAGGCUGAUUUAAGGUGGUCGACUAAUUUGUUUAACGGUAUUUUUCAGUCGGCAAAAAUGCCCGAGGCUUGGAGAUGGAGUACUAUGAUCUCUCUUUAUAAGAAUAAGAGUGACAUUCAGUGUUGCAACAACUACAGGGGUAUUACGUUAUUGAGGCACACUAUGAAGAAUUGAGAGAGAGUGGUCGAGUUGAGGUUGAGGAGGAUAGUGUCUAUUUCGGAGAACCAGUUUGGAUUUAUGCCCGGGCGCUCGACGAUGGAGGCAAUUCACCUGAUGCGGAGACUGGUGGAACAGUACAGGGAAGGAAAGAAGAACCUGCACAUGGUGUUUAUCGACUUGGAGAAGGCAUACGACAAAGUCCUUAGGAAAGUUCUUUAGAGAUGCUUGGAGGUGAGUGGAGUCCCGGUGGCGUAUAUCAGAGCAAUCAAAGACAUGUAUGAUGGAGCUAAGACCUCAGAUAAGGACGGCGGGAGAUGAUUCAGAAUAUUUCUCUGUCUUGACAGGGUUGCAUCAGGGAUUUACUAUUAGCCUAUUUUUGUUUGCUUUGGUGAUGGAUGUGUUGACGCGGCGUAUCCAGGGAGAGGUGCCUUGGUGUAUGCUGUUUGUAGAUGAUGUGGUUCUGAUUGAUGAGACUCGGGGGGUGUGAAUAAUAAAUUAGAGGUGUGGAGACAGACCCUUGAUUCUAAAGGGUUCAGGUUGAGUAGGGGCAAGAUUGAAUAUUUGGAAUGUAAGUUUAAUGGCUUGAGGCAGGAGGAGGAGGUGGAAGUGAGGUUGGAUUCUCAGGUGGUGUGUAAGAGGGAUAACUUCAAGUAUCUCGGAUCCAUGAUUCAGUGGAAUGGUGAGAUUGCCGAGGAUGUCUCUCACCGUAUUGGGGUAGGAUGGAUGAAGUGGAAGCUCACCUCGGGAGUGCUGUGUGAUAAGAAGGUGCUGCCCAAGCUUAAAAGCAAAUUCUACAGGGUGGCAGUUCGUCCGACCAUGUUGUAUGGAGCGGAGUGUUGGCCAAUCAAGAACUCUCACAUUCAAAAAUUAAAGGUGGCGAAAAUACGGAUGUUGCGUUGGAUAUGUGGGCUUACUAGAGGUGAUAGAGUUCAGAAUGAAACUAUUCGGGAGAAGGUUGGAGUGGCUUCUAUGGAGGAUAAGAUGUGGGAAGUCCGUUUGAGAUGGUUCAAACACGUGAUGAGAAGGGGCAUAAAUGCUCUGAUUCAUAGGUAUGAGAGGCUUGCUUUGGAUGAUUUCAAGUGGGGCAGGGGUAGGCCAAAUAAAUACUGGAGAGAGGUGAUUAGGCGGGACAUGGAGCAGUUUCAGCUUACUGAGGAUAUGACCCUAGAUAGAAAAAUUUGGAGAACGCGUAUUAAGGUAGAAGGUUAGUGCCAGUUUGGGUUGGUAGGGUAGGACAUUACUUGGUGGGUGUAUUAUUUUUGUUAUGAUACCUUGUUGCAUGUUGUGUUACAAUUGCCUACUAUUCUUUAUUCACUAUUCCCUAUACGUGGCGUACUUAUUGCCUUGCCAUGUUAUUCUAUGCCUUUUGUAUGUAUUUCAUUACUAUUCCUUAUCUUGAGCCGGGGAUCUACCGAAAAUAGUCUUGCUACUUCUCCGGAUGUAGUGGUAUGGACUGCGUAUAUUUUACCCUCCCCAGACCUCACGAUGUGGGAAUACACUGAGUUUGUUGUUGUUGUAAUUGAAUCCUUACUCAGUUUCUCUAAUUUCAAGGAUUUAUUUCUAUUUUUGAAUCUUAGAAGUUACUUUAAUUUUUUCUUGAUAUUUUCUAUAAAAAAUCAAGUGGCGACUCUGUAAUUUUUUUCUAAAUUAUUUCAAAAUUUUCUUGGGAUUUUUUGAAAUUAUUUGAGAAAGAUCAAAAUCAUUUCCUUUAAAAUAAAAUAAGAAAAGGGAUAAAACAGAAAUGAUGACUCUGCUGGGGAAUUAUCUAGGUUCUAACCAAAAGAAAUUUAGGCUAACAAAUAAGUUUUUAUAAAUAUCUAUUUAUUCUAUCUUAUGUGCAUUAUGUGUUUAUCAUGUUUAUUUGACAUAAACUGUUUAUUUACUACUAUUUUGUAUGAAUUAUUUGUUAUUACUUUAUAUAAAUUGGCAUUCAGUUCAUAUUUCCCCCACUUUAAAAAAUUGACACUCACACACAUUGUACAUGCGGAUUGUAUAUUGUACUUUCCCAAAAUUCUUUCAAAUCACCUAUUUUAGAGAGUCAGCGCAUACAUGGGGUAAACGGGAGUUUUACUGCCGUGGAACCAUGUGCCUUCUCAUAUAGGAAAUCUAAGUUCGUUUCUAUCCAAAUCUUAGCAAAACUUAAGAUAGAGUAUUACCACCUUUGACUUAGGUCAUACAUGCAUAAGUCAUAGGCGGUUUGACCCAUGGUGUCAUUCCGCAAAUUUAGGAAAUACCUUUAUGUCAAAAAGAUUCACGACCCGAUGACGACCCUCAUAUUAUGUAUAGAGAUAAUGAUAAGUUGAUCCAAGUUAAAAUUUGAUAAAAUUGAGUUUGGAAAAACAUUUGCUUAUAUUGACUUCUUAUAGGUUGCUAAAAUGGAUAAUUUGUCAAAUUUUGCCAAUACCCAAAUAGUUGUGUAUGUGCCACUCAAGCUUAGAAGAUGGUGGGAGAAUAUCAAGAUGGAGCAUGGGUUCGAGAUUAGGAGAACUUUGCGUUUCUUGACAUCAUUGAUUUACAUUCCUCCUGACAGGCAUAUAGUCAAAACAUUGCUCAAGUUCUGAGAUCCCACUAGAGUCGUGUUUAAGUUCAAGGAUUUUGAAUUGACUCCCACGAUUGAAGAAAUUGGUGGAUUUACCGAUUUGAAUUAUCAAGGACGGCGUAUGAUCCUACCUCGCAAACAGUCAGGAAAGAAAUUCUUGCAUCUUCUUGGGCUCAAGAACAACCUCAAGCUUGCAUGUUUGGAUAGUGAUUGGAUCUCUCUUGACUACUUGUAUGAAAGAUUUGGCCGCAAAGGUGGUCAUGAGGUCUUCAACAGGGAUUCCUCUUGUUCUGCCGAGAGUUGGAGAAAGAAACGCCCUAUUGCUUUGGCCAUUGCUUUGCUAGGCACUCUGGUCUUCCCUUUAGAGCAUAGAAGGAUUGACACUUGCCUUAGCUCUGUGGUUCGAGAUCUUUUUCGUGGGGUUGAAAAUGUUGAAGUUACAUUGGUUCCAAUGAUCCUAGCAGAAAUAAUGAGGGCACUAUCCAAAUGUGCUAGAGGAAGUAGGUUCUUCGAAGGCUGCAAUCUCUUGCUUCAGAUUUGGGCUAUAGAGCAUUUCUAUAGACACAACGCCGUGGUCGACAUGCUCUUCAGCAGACCUAAUAGGAUCGAUUCUUAUCUAUAAAAGAUGGCGGAAUUUGUAGCUCCUGUCGGUACAAAUGAUUGGUAUGCAUACAUAAGGGUGCUCACGAUCAAUCAAAUCCAAUGGAGAUACCCAUGGUUGUCACCUCACACCGCCAUCAUCAGGAGCUGUACAACAUACUGUAUUGAGCCUAUCGGCUUGAAGGGUCUUCAACCACAUGCUCCCUUACGAGUGCUUCGACAAUUUGGACAUAAUCAAAUCAUUCCACUUUGUGUAGACAUGAGUAGAGUUGAGGUUGAUUUCGGUCCACUCUUUAAGAUUCCUAGAGCAAUGAAGUUGCUUCGAGAUUGGGGAAAUCUGAUAACAAUAGAUGUGCUUAACGAGCAAGCUUACUGUACUCCAGAGUAUUAUGUGUGGCUAUCAGCAGAAGUAGAAGAGGUGGGUUUUAGCCGUCAAGGACAAGCCGUUUGAUACAAAGAUCUUGAAGAAACAGAAUGGGCACAUGGUAUCCUGAUAAACCAUUUUGUCAUCCCACUUCAAAUGUGGGAACAAGUCAUUCCCGGAUAGUUAGCGCAUUUUGGAGCAUGAAGACUUAGUUUAGUGGCUAGGAUUUCUCUCUUAUUAUUAUGUACUCUCUUUAUGCUUUGGCUAGGAUUCCGCUUUGUCAUCAUGUAUUCUCAUUAUGUUUUGGAACCAAUGUAAUGGUCUAAUGAUGAUAUUUAAAUGAAGUGGUUUGUUUCUUAUUUUCUAACUCCAAACUCCAGAAAUGUCAUUAAUUAAUGGCUUGGAUCAAUUUAUCAUAAUCUUAAUUAUUUGACGCUAGGUCAACCCUUGGCUUAAAAAGGGUCACUCCAGUUAGGAUACGCGCUAUUAUAAUGUUUAUGUGAUAUAACUGCCUUAUGUGUUUAUUUGUGUUUGUUUGAGUCAAAAAUAAAAUGCUCCCGUGGAUCAGUUUAACUAUGAUGCUAACAACCCUAUGUGUUUACUUUUUGUCAAGUAUCUUGCAUUACUCAUCACAUAUGGAAACUAACACAUCUGCCUUUGAGAUAUUUUACUUUACAGAUAAUAGAAAACUGCUCCGUGUUGAAAUAAGCUGGCAGAACAUCCUUACUUCACCCGGUCAAAAGCGCAUAAGAUCCCAUCCUCUGACCAUCACUUAGAAAUGACUGGA